AACGAACGCUGGCGGCAUGCCUAACACAUGCAAGUCGAACGAGACCUUCGGGUCUAGUGGCGCACGGGUUCGUAACGCGUGGGAACCUGCCCUUAGGUUCGGAAUAACUCCCCGAAAGGGGUGCUAAUACCGGAUAAUGUCUUCGGACCAAAGAUUUAUCGCCUUUGGAUGGGCCCGCGUUGGAUUAGCUAGUUGGUAGGGUAAAAGCCUACCAAGGCGACGAUCCAUAGCUGGUCUGAGAGGAUGAUCAGCCACACUGGGACUGAGACACGGCCCAGACUCCUACGGGAGGCAGCAGUGGGGAAUAUUGGACAAUGGGCGAAAGCCUGAUCCAGCAAUGACGCGUGAGUGAUGAAGGCCUUAGGGUUGUAAAGCUCUUUUACCCGGGAUGAUAAUGACAGUACCGGGAGAAUAAGCUCCGGCUAACUCCGUG
rnacentral:rRNA from 1 species